rnacentral:rRNA from 1 species
CCUACGGGAGGCAGCAGUGGGGAAUUUUGGACAAUGGGUGCAAGCCUGAUCCAGCAAUGCCGCGUGAGUGAAGAAGGCCUUCGGGUUGUAAAGCUCUUUUGUCAGGGAAGAAACGGUGAGGGCUAAUAUCUCUUGCUAAUGACGGUACCUGAAGAAUAAGCACCGGCUAACUACGUGCCAGCAGCCGCGGUAAUACGUAGGGUGCAAGCGUUAAUCGGAAUUACUGGGCGUAAAGCGUGCGCAGGCGGUUUUGUAAGUCUGUCGUGAAAUCCCCGGGCUCAACCUGGGAAUUGCGAUGGAGACUGCAAGGCUAGAAUCUGGCAGAGGGGGGUAGAAUUCCACGUGUAGCAGUGAAAUGCGUAGAGAUGUGGAGGAACACCGAUGGCGAAGGCAGCCCCCUGGGUCAAGAUUGACGCUCAUGCACGAAAGCGUGGGGAGCAAACAGGAUUAGAUACCCUGGUAGUCCACGCCCUAAACGAUGUCUACUAGUUGUCGGGUUUUAAUUAACUUGGUAACGCAGCUAACGCGUGAAGUAGACCGCCUGGGGAGUACGGUCGCAAGAUUAAAACUCAAAGUGAAUUGACG